GACGAACGCUGGCGGCGUGCUUAACACAUGCAAGUCGAACGAGUGGGCACGGGUGUGUAAUACGUGGGUAACCUGCCCAUCAGAGGGGAUAACACUUGGAAACAGGUGCUAAACCGAUAUUGAUGGAUUGACCCGUGGUGCAUUAGCUCGUUGGUGAGGUAACGGCUCACCAAGGCCACGAUGCCUAGCCGACCUGAGAGGAUGAGCAGCCACACUGGGACUGAGACACGGCCCAGACUCCUACGGGAGGAAGCAGUGGGGAAUAUUCGGCAAUGGGCGAAAGUCUGACCCAGCAACGCCGCGUGUAUGAAGAAGGUUUUCGGGUCGUAAAGCACUUUUGGUAGAGAGGCGGUAUCUAAAGAGAAAGCCACGGCUAACUACGUGCCAGCAGCCGCGGUAAUUC
rnacentral:rRNA from 1 species